GAUUGUCACUGGUGCGUUAGCUCACCUAGUAAAACAUCAGACUCCUGUGCAGAAGUCCUGGGUUCGAUUCUGGAUGUCAACAUAGUUUGUUUAGAGUUUAUUUUUUACAUUAAUGGUAUAUUUUUUUUACAGUAAGAUGCCCAAAUUUUUAUUUGAGACUCGCCAAACGGCUUUGAAUUCACAGAUAAAAAAGAUGUGGGUUCAACUUUCAUUUUGGAACAAUUUUUCAAGCAAGAGAAGGGAAUGAUCUGAGCAUGCAGGAGGACUAACCCAUCAUAAACCUUUGUCGGCUGUGCUGAAGAGAAAGGUACAGAACCAAAUUAUUUAAUUAAUUAGCUGCAUGUUCUCCUGUCCUCUGGGCCACACACACACACACACACACACACACACACACACACACACACACACACACACACACACACACACACACACACACACACACACACACACACACACACACACACACACAGGACUGUCUCAGCUGUUAUUUUCGUUAAGGAGUGUGCACGUACAGCAUGCGCACCUCGUGCACGAGCCUACUAUUGAAGCUGUCGUUACGCUUUUGGCCUGAGGGGGCAAUCGGGAGCAUAAAAAUUCAAAACUCCGUAAAGUCCCUUUAAAUAAUUACAAUACAAAAAUAGAAACAUCUUUAAUUGAUCCUAAAAACAUUCAGUGAAACUAAUCUGCCUUCCUAGAGCAAUUUCACAGGUCACCCCUCCCAUUCCUCCUGAAUGGAAUGCUCCGGAACCUUCUUUAGGUGCUCCAGCUCCCCGGGGACUCUUUUAGCUGGAACACCUCCAGAAUCACAAAGGAAACAGGUAAGUAAAAACACUCAAUCAUUUACCACUUUAAAUCCUCAAUAUGCAUACCAACUCUUCUUCUUACAGGUCCAAACGCUUCACCCUUUUUAAAUAAACGUUAAAACAAUUGUUAUAGAGCCUGGUUUCAUUUAUCCUACAACCAUCGUAAAAACCUGUGUAAUGGACUUUCUACAUUACAGGACGGUUCAUAUCAGUCAGUAGGUGAAACUCAAACAAUAAGAAUACGGUGUAAAAGUUAAUUUAUGUGAUUAAUUCUAUUUUAGAGAGCUUUAAAUUGACCAGUUUCACAUUUUGACACCACUCCUGCAGACGUCUGCUGACCAAAAACAGCACUUUUACCUGCUUGUGUGUUAGCAUUUUUAGUUUGCAGAUCGUCAGUUAAAAAAAAGGAGAUAAAGAAGAAGUUUGCUUUUUUGUUGGAAGUAAAAGUUGGAGAGUAAUGUCUGCGAAGCAAAGAGCUAAAACCAGAGUGAACAUCAGCGCGGCCUACGCUAGUUUGAGGGAGCUAAAGGGGGCUACAACAUCACGGACUGAUGGUGACCUGGCUUUGUUGCUGCUGGACGUCUAAGCAAUAAUAUUUUUCUGUCCAACAGUGUGGAUCUUUUUACUUUGUGGUUUAUUUUAGUAUUAGUUGGCUCAUGUUAGUGUUAGCUCAUUGUUAACGCUAGCUGCAGCAGGUUGCAGUAGAGCGGAGAAGCAGGAAACUGCUGUGUGUUACUUAAAAAGGUGAAACUAUUCUAUGAGACAGACUCGUUCCAUGCAAAUCCAGAUAUUUCAGCCUUUAUUAGUUAUAAUUAUGAUGAUCGUGACUAACAGCUCAUGAAAACCCCACAUUCAAAAUCUCAGACAGUUAGAAUAUUGUGAAAAGGUUCAAUAUUCCAAACUCAAAGUGUCACACUCUAAUGAAUCCAGAGCAACUGCAAAGGGUUCCUGAGCCUUUAGAUGGUCUCUCUGUCUAAGAUGGAUCACUGACAUAAAUGGACUUUUGCACCAAUUUUCUCAUUACUGGAGUUUCACCAGUUUUUGUUAUAGAUAACUCUUUGAUCGGACUCCGAUCAAAUAGAGAUUAAUUCUGGUUGGACAGGCAAGCUAACCGCUACGUGGGGUAAGCUUUUAAUUGUCCUGAAUUAAUUAAAGUUUACGAAGCGGUUUUUAUGAUCUUUUCGUUGACACAAAUGCAACAAACGUCUCUUUUCUCAUCCGUUUCCUUCCACUUUAUGAUUGCCUUCCUUCCUCGAUACAUACCGGCUGUUAUCUCAUUUAGCCAGUCAGAACUAAUCUCUGUUUCUCCAAACUGAGGUCAUUCAAAGAGCAGGUAAGAUUGAACCUCGCUUCCCCUUUGAAGAACAUAAAACACACGCCAGGAUAAUUCUGCACCAUUAAACCAAUAAAAAAAUUAACAUUUGAUAUGAAUUAUCAGAUCAGAACAGUCCACUUAUUCUCCUUUUAGAGUCAAAUCACCAAAGUGUGCUUGAAAUAAGAUGUUCCAAGAUUUAUUAGUUAUUUGAAUUUCUAGAACUAAUGAAUGUAAUCAGUUUUUAUUUCACAGUAUAUUUUCCCAUAGAAGAAGGAUUUGGGUUCUUAGGCCAAAUUUAAUACAAAUUUGGGCUUUAAAUUGUUUUCAGAACACUAAAUAUAUAGAUAUGUAUAGAAAUAGAGACUCCCAACAAUGGUUCGUAGAUGACCUAACUAAGGUUAAAGGUGAUGUUAGCACAUUGUGUUAUAAAAGCGGUAACUAAGGAAUCUAAUUAGCAUCAUUUUAGGUGGUUUGUGCCAUACAAAAACAUUUUUGUUUUAUAAAUCAAGUAAUAAUCUGUUUCUAUGUUGUUUGUUUUUAACUUUAUUUUAUGUGAGAUUGAAUUCCUCCUACCUGUCUGCAGGAGCGUGCCUGAGUCGUGGCCGGAGGGUCGUGUAGGAGAAAGCUCAGUGGGACGAAGACUUGGUCCAACUGCAAAAACAAGGCACAAACAUAAACGUGUGGGCAAGAAGAGGAGAAGUGAAGAAAGAGCUGCCUGCAGACAGAAACUCGCGUUUACAGGAAGGAAAAGUAAAGGUUCCCCGAGCCUCAAAAGGGUCGUGGUGUGGGUCAGUUCGGGGGGGGACCGUUGACUGGACACAUGUCCAGAAGACAUUCAUAGACACCGUCCUCAAGGAGGGGAAGCCACAAGAGGUCCAUUCUAAAGAGUGCUGCGUCCAUGCAGAGUCAUAAAAAGUUGAGUGGAAGGAG